rnacentral:rRNA from 1 species
CUGCCGGUGACAAACCGGAGGAAGGUGGGGAUGACGUCAAAUCAUCAUGCCCCUUAUGAUUUGGGCUACACACGUGCUACAAUGGACAAUACAAAGGGCAGCGAAACCGCGAGGUCAAGCAAAUCCCAUAAAGUUGUUCUCAGUUCGGAUUGUAGUCUGCAACUCGACUACAUGAAGCUGGAAUCGCUAGUAAUCGUAGAUCAGCAUGCUACGGUGAAUACGUUCCCGGGUCUUGUACACACCGCCCGUCACACCACGAGAGUUUGUAACACCCGAAGCCGGUGGAGUAACCUUUUAGGAGCUAGCCGUCGAAGGUGGGACAAAUGAUUGGGGUGAAGUCGUAACAAGGUAGCCGUAUCGGAAGGUGCGGCUGGAUCACCUCCUUUCUAAGGA